rnacentral:rRNA from 1 species
AGAGCGAACGCUGGCGGCAGGCCUAACACAUGCAAGUCGAGCGCCCGUAGCAAUACGGGAGCGGCAGACGGGAUAGUAACACGUGGGAACGCGCCCUUCGGUUCGGAAUAACUCAGGGAAACUUGAGCUAAUACCGAAUACGCCCUUACGGGGAAAGAUUUAUUGCCGAAGGAACGGCCCGCGUCCGAUUAGCUAGUUGGUGAGGUAAUGGCUCACCAAGGCUACGAUCGGUAGCUGGUCUGAGAGGAUGACCGGCAUCACUGGGACUGAGACACGGCCCAGACUCCUACGGGAGGCAGCAGUGGGGAAUAUUGGACAAUGGGCGAAAGCCUGAUCCAGCCAUGCCGCGUGGAUGAUGAAGGCCUUAGGGUUGUAAAGUCCUUUUAACGGGAAGAUAAUGACGGUACCCGUAGAAUAAGCCCGGCUAACUUCGCGCCAGCAGCCGC